UUGGGGAGUCGUCAAGCGGUUAAGACACUGGAUUUUGAUUCCAGCAUGCGAAGGUUCGAAUCCUUCCUCCCCAGCCAA
rnacentral:tRNA from 1 species